rnacentral:lncRNA from 1 species
GGAGGGGGCGGAGAUGGAACUGAGGAUGGAUCCACCGGGGCCCUAGAGCAGCCCAGGUCCCGUCGCCAAUCCGCGUCCCCCCACACACCGCCUUGCCUUGGCCGAGCUGCUCCGGGUAGCCCUUGAAACACUGGCCCGAGGUCCAAGUAGAUCGAACAGCUCCUCACCGCCUUCUUCCAUCACUAUGACUUGUAGCUGAGGCCCAAACCAAUGAGCCGACCUUUGUGAACCCAGCAGACCGCUCAGCGUGCACGUGCCGCAGAGGCUCUGUCACUUCCACCACAUCUUUCUUUGCACUUUGCAGAGGAUGAGACCAUCAUCAAACUCAGUCGACGCUGCUGCUGGUACAAGA